UACGUAGGGUGCAAGCGUUGUCCGGAAUUACUGGGCGUAAAGAGCUCGUAGGUGGUUUGUCGCGUUGUUUCGUGAAAACUCACAGCUUAACUGUGGGCGUGCGGGCGAUACGGGCAGACUGGAGUACUGCAGGGGAGACUGGAAUUCCUGGUGUAGCGGUGGAAUGCGCAGAUAUCAGGAGGAACACCGGUGGCGAAGGCGGGGUCUCUGGGCAGUAACUGACGCUGAGGAGCGAAAGCGUGGGGGAGC
rnacentral:rRNA from 1 species